GCAACAAAGCCCCACACCUCUUUCUGUUCCAUUUUUCUACCCGAACACAUCGUAAUCCACAGCGAUCGCCUCUCUCCACCCCCUCCUCUGAAGUUGCGCUCGUGCUCUGCUUCCUCUCGGUUCCAAGGAGCGGCGGCCAUUGCUGCUGGCAGAUUGAUGGCGAUGGAGGGACCUGUUCUAUGCCGUCCCGCGAUGCAAGCAAAACUGCCUUCUGCGGGGCUCAUCAGCAAUUACCUUGUCAAAUCUGGGCAGCUUGGGACUGCAUUCUUUGGUGCCAUGUCAAAAUACAGGAACAUUACUAGAUUCAUUUCUCCAAUCUCUGAACUGCCCGUGAAAAAUCCCAGCCAUGUUUGCUGUAGCUUCAGCUCAUCUUCUGAUGGUAAUGGACACAUGGCUGGAAACUUUAGCGAGAGUGAUGAAGAUUAUGUUAAUUCGACUGUGCUAGAAGCUGUUGAGGUUAGAAGUGGAUCAGAAGGAUAUGUAAUCAAGAUGCGAGAUGGCAAAAACCUGCGAUGUGUGCAUAAUAAUUCUCAUGGAAGAAAUAUUCCAGAGAGUGCACCACAACCAGCUAUUGUUUUGAGGAUUGAAGAUGGAAGCGAAACUUUACUUCCAAUCAUCGUUUUGGAGAUGCCAAGUGUACUUUUGAUGGCAGCUAUUCGCAAUGUCCACAUUGCACGACCUACCAUAUAUCAAGUUGUCAAGGAAAUGAUUGAUAAAAUGGGUUAUGAGGUAAAACUUGUUCGUGUAAACAAAAGAAUUCAAGAAGCAUAUUGUGCUGAACUCUAUCUCACGAAGAGAGAAGAUCCUACAGACAGUAUCACCUUUGAUCUUCGACCUUCAGAUGCUAUCAACAUCGCAGUUCGCUGCAAGGUUCCUAUUCAAGUUCAUAGAAGUCUUGCAUACAGUGAUGGCAUAAGGCCAGUUGAGCCAGCAAGAAUGGCGGUAGCAGCUGGUGUAUCGGAGGGGCUGUUGUUUACAGAACUUGACAGACCUGAUGGACAGCCCUGUGUUGAGGCUCAAGAGUUUGGAUUAGUGCGGAACAUGCUCAUCGCAGCUGUUGAAGAGAGAUACAAGGAUGCCGGUAACAAUACUAUCACUCAUUAUGGCUUCAUUCCAAUUCAUCCAGUUAUCAAGUUAAUGUUUCCUGAGAAUCUUUCUUGAAAUUGUUUGAAAUGUUAAAUAAGCAUAACUCUGUUUCCUUUGCGAGUUGCAACCAUCUUUCUGUACUUUGCAAAGGACCCUGAGCACAAUAUAUCACCCUGUAUGCGUUAAUGUUGGAAAAUAGUAAGCUUUAGUUUAAAUAGCAGACUUGGUGCUGUUUUCUUUAAAAUGUUGAUUGGUUUAUUUCUCGGUUUCUACAGCAUCAUGGAAGGACAAACUGAUGCAGCUGAGGUCCAAGCGGAAGAACUGGGCCUGACAGUGUGGUCCGUCUUGAUGGUGUAAAUAAAGAUGACGACCUGCUGAAUUCCAGUGUGCAUUCCAGAUGAGUUGACACUGGUUAUGGUUCUAUGUAACUAGUUGUACAUAUUAUAUGGGCUUGAGAAUUGGCUUCUGUAAAUUCAUACUAAGCUUCCAAGCAAAAACUAAAAAUCUGUCAUAUUUGUGGGCGCCAAUGUGUAUGCUGUCGGAAUUAAAAUAUCUUCUGCGACAUCCUGCCCCAAUUGGAAUUUGGCCCAUGAUGGUUUAUGUGUGUGCAAUGGAGGUUUAGGCCUAAAUUGGUGGUUGUGGUGAGUUGUACAAAUAUAGUAUAUAGGGUCAAUUGGAUCCAUAUUAUUAUAAUUUUUUAACUUCUCAAUUACGUCA